ACACGCUGUCAGUUGUGUUGUCAUUUUGUUUUCAUGCGAACGUAUGUUGGAGAUGGAUUUAAUGUUUUUAAACAAUUAAAACUUUAAAAAUGGGGAACGCUGACACAAAAUUAAACUUUAGAAAAGCUGUCGUCCAGCUUACUUCUAAGACACAGCCUAUUGACGCGUCAGAUGAUAGUUUCUGGGAUCAAUUCUGGUCGGAGAGCGUCACGAACGUGCAAGAUGUGUUCGCGCUAGUACCGGGGGCGGAGAUCCGAGCGUUGCGAGAGGAGUCUCCGAACAACCUGGCCACACUUGUUUACAAGGCUGUUGAGAAGCUGGUGAAGUGUGUAGACAGCAGCUGCAGAACGCAGAGGGAACAGCAGACCGCCCUGAAUUGCGCGCGGCUACUGACGCGGGUGCUCCCGUACAUGUUCGAGGAGCCUGAGUGGCACAGUUUCUUCUGGUCCUCACUGCCGGCCGCGGCUGAGAACGAGUCCGUGCCGCUCGCGCAGUCGCUCAUCAACGCUAUCUGCGACUUGUUAUUCUGCCCCGACUUCACAGUGGCCAGCACAAAGAGAUCAGGGCCAGAGCGCGCAGAAGAGUUAUCGCAGCUGGACAGCUGCGAGUACAUCUGGGCGGGCGGCGUGGGGUUCGCUCGCGCCCCGCCGCGGCUGGCGGCGCACGAGGCGGCGCGCGGGGAGCUGCUGCGGCUGCUGCUGACGGCCUGCAGCGAGACCAUCUACACGCCGCCGCACCACGCCGGCAGGGGCUACCAUCACAACAAGUGGAUCGCGUACCUGACGAGCCCUGAGAACCGUCACGCGCUACCCCUGUUCACGUCUUUACUGAACACGGUGUGCUCGUACGACCCGGUCGGACUCGGCCUGCCAUACAACCACCUGCUGUUCCAGGAUACCCUUGAGCCACUUGUCGAGGUGGCGUUACAAAUACUGAUAGUGACACUAGACCACGACACCAGCACUGCUGCCAAUGAGGAAACUGACGAGAACCUGCCGGACAACCUGUUCAUCAACUACCUGUCCCGCAUCCACCGCGACGAGGACUUCCAGCUGAUCCUGCGCGGCGUCACGCGGCUGCUCAACAACCCGCUGCAGCAGACCUACCUGCCCAACUCCAACAAGAAGGUCCUCUUACACCAGGAGCUGUUGGUGCUCUUCUGGAAGAUGUGCGAUUAUAACAAGAAAUUCAUGUACUACGUGUUGAAGAGCAGCGACGUGCUGGAGGUGCUGGUGCCUAUACUGUACCACCUAAACGACUCCAGAGCAGAUCAGUCCCGCGUCGGCCUGAUGCACAUCGGCGUGUUCAUCCUCCUGUUGCUGUCGGGGGAGCGUAACUUCGGCGUCCGCCUCAACAAGCCGUACACCGCCACCAUUCCCAUGGACAUCCCAGUGUUCACUGGCACGCACGCUGACUUGCUGGUGGUCGUGUUCCACAAGAUUGUCACCACUGGCCAUCAAAGAUUGCAGCCGCUGUUCGACUGCCUUCUCACCGUGUUGGUUAAUGUGUCCCCGUACCUGAAGACCCUGUCGAUGGUGUCCGCCACCAAGCUGCUGCACCUGGUGGAGGCGUUCAGCACGCCGUGGUUCCUGUUCGCGCGGCCGCACCACCACCAUCUCGUCUUCCUGCUGCUCGAGAUGUUCAACAACAUCAUACAGUACCAGUUCGAUGGUAAUUCGAACCUGGUGUACACGAUAAUCCGCAAACGCGGCGUGUUCCACAACCUCGCCAACCUGCCGCACGAGCACGCCGCCAUCGCGCGCUCCAUGCAGCAGGGCAAGGGCAAGCACACGCCCACCGCCAGCUCCAGCCUGCCCAGGACGACGUCCGCGGAGUCCGUGUCGGAGGCCGUGAUGGAGGGCUCGCGGCCCGCGCUGCCCGCCGAGCCCGGCACGCUCAACCCCACGCUGCCCGACACGCCAGCGAUAGCGGCGAUGACGGAGCGCGAGUCAGCGCACCCCCCCUCCACCGUCCCGGCCGAGGCGCUGCUGCCCGCCCGCAGCGGCGGCGACGGCGAGGACCACGCCGCAGACGACCACGGCGGGGACACGCACACCGUCACACAUAGAGAGUCCAUCAAGCUGUCGGGUGGCGAGCGCCCCCCGGUGCCGGAGACGGAGGCGGGCGCGGCGUGGCGGCCCAGCAGCGAGUGGGUGGCCUCGUGGCGCAGCAAGUUGCCGCUGCAGACCAUCAUGCGACUGCUGCAGGUGCUCGUGCCGCAGGUCGAGAAGAUCUGCAUCGACAAGGGUUUGACAGACGAGUCUGAGAUCCUGCGGUUCCUGCAGCACGGCACGCUGGUGGGCCUGCUGCCCGUGCCGCACCCCAUCCUCAUCCGCAAGUACCAGGCCAACGCCGGCACCGCCGCCUGGUUCCGUACUUACAUGUGGGGCGUCAUCUACAUACGUAAUGUGGACCCUCCGAUCUGGUAUGAUACCGACGUGAAGUUGUUCGAGAUCCAGCGGGUGUGAGCCGCCACCGACCACUAGCGACCAUCGACCACCGACCACCGACCGACCUACGCGUACAUGGGUACACCCUCGGACACCGGAAGCCAACAACAUUACCGGUAACGCAAAAAUAUCCAAGAAUCUUUGGUCGUUUUGCAAAUAUCCAGUUAGACUCAGGCGAGCAUGUAUGAAGUCUUUGAUGAGAGUGGAUGAAGCGAAAGUGGUGUGUCUAGAUAGUAGUAAGUGGAAUUGGGUAGUAACCUAGGUCAAAGAUAAGUUAUGAAAUUCUGAUUACUAAAUAAAAACAGAUCUAAAACUGACAAAAAACAUUUCUUUAUUCUAUUCUAUUUAACUUACUUAUAAAUGACUAAAAUUGUUUAUUUCGGAUCAAAAAAUUACAUCCAUAUUAUGUUAGUGAGAAGUGACUUAUGAAACUAUUGUUAGUAAUGUAAUUAUAUUUUGCACGCAUUCAUGACCAUCACGAGAACGGGUAAGUUCCCGUGAUCGUCACUCUACGCACAAAACAUCUCCAAAGCGGCGAUGUGUAUCGGUCAGCUAUGUGUCUUCAGAAUGCUGUUGGGGCUGUUUAUGAAUUUCAAUAAAGAAAUAUGUAAUAAUAAGUGCGACAUUUUGUCACGUUUUUCUACACAGGUUGCUUUUUCAUACAAAUUCCUUAGUAAUUUCCUGUUUUGACGUUUAGUAAAAAGUAACUGAUUUGACUGGUUGGAAACUACCCUAUUCCGUGGUUUCUGCCCACCCACAACGGGAAAUAGGCGUGAUCUCAAGUAUGUAUCUAUGUGGAACUUAUAAAAGUUGGCGACAGACAUAAGUUGUAACUGGAUAUUAGCAAAAAGACAAUAGAUUUUAGCAUGGUGUAAGAAAACCAGGUAUGCUCAAAAGUGACAGCUAACAUUUCAAGGUUAGCCCGGCUGACGUCAUCCCACCCUGCGUUGCCAUUUCGUAAAAAUUAUAUUACCCACGAACUUUUAGUAAAAGAGUUACUUACAGUUUUAAUGAUUUUUAUAUAUGUGACAAGGAAUAGUAAUUAAAUACAUUAGUCAGUUAUUCACUUAAUAUUAAAUAAUAAAAUUUUAAUGCUCUUGGAAUGUUGGAAAUACCAAUUUAAUGGUAACACAGUGGUAAACCACGUCAUCAAAGGGCUGGCAAUGGCGGCUUGUCAUAGGAUUGAACAUAUCUGGCUUUUUUAUACGCAUAUCGGGGGUGGGGUGAGGGUGGCUCGUGACGGUGCGGGGUGGAAAGGCAAGCGCUUACUGGUGAGAUUGAAAAAUUAAAUUUAGUGUCAUGUUCAUAAAGUGCCAUCUUCUCACGCGUACAGUAUAUCUUCGAAUAAUAAGUAUGUGUGAUCAGUUCAUAAUAAUAAUAAUAAAAAAGCUGGAUGGAUGUAGCUU
rnacentral:misc_RNA from 1 species